AACGAACGCUGGCGGCAGGCUUAACACAUGCAAGUCGAACGCAUCCUUCGGGGUGAGUGGCAGACGGGUGAGUAACGCGUGGGAACGUGCCCUUCAGUUCGGGUUAACCCAGGGAAACUUGGGCUAAUACCGGAUACGUGCGAGAGCAGAAAGAUUGAUCGCUGAAGGAUCGGCCCGCGUCUGAUUAGCUAGUUGGUGGGGUAAUGGCUCACCAAGGCGACGAUCAGUAGCUGGUCUGAGAGGAUGAUCAGCCACAUUGGGACUGAGACACGGCCCAUACUACUAGAGGAUGGAGCAGUGGGGAAUAUUGGAAAAUGGGCGCAGGCAUGAUCCAGCCAUGCCGCGUGAGUGAUGAAGGCCUUAGGGUUGUAAAGCUCUUUCGUCCGGGACGAUAAUGACGGUACCGGAAGAAGAAGCCCCGGCUAACUUCGUGCCAGCCGCCGCGGUAA
rnacentral:rRNA from 1 species